rnacentral:pre_miRNA from 1 species
AUAUCAAUCACCUAGGGAUCUUGUUAGAAUGCAGGUUCUAAUUUCCAGAGGUCUGGGGAGGGGCUUGUGAUCCUGCAUUACUAACAAGCUCCCAGGUGAUACGGAU